CUUUGGGGAAUCAACAGCAAAAAAUGCUGAGCUACAUCAGGUUGCUAUACUUAAAGUUUUGAUAUCAGCAUCACAGUUGAUGACGAUGUUACAGGGCGAUGGUACAAACAUCAUUGGUAGUGUGAGUAGUGUCAGAGAACACACAAGUAAUGCAUUCACUGCAGAAACUUUUGUUGGUGUGGAUAUUAGUCAUGAAUUAAACAGAGUAAAAGUAAAAGGGCAGUGAUGUGCUGGACUUUUCCUCAGAGAGAGAGAGCCUGAACAAAGUGUAUGAUUCAAGUGAUCCUGAUCUCACAUACGACUUGGACUUACCUCCCACCAGAAAUGCAACAAGGAGAGGCCACAUGCAAACACAAGGAGUUUCUAGAGUCUGAAGAAGUUCCUGAAUCAAUUUCUGUUGACAAGAAACAUCAGAGUAUUGCUCAGAUA